GCCAGGCGUGGUGGCGCAUACCUGUAGUCCCAGCUACUUGGGAGGCUGAGGUAGGAGAAUCACUUGAGCCUAGGAGCUCGAGGCUGCAGUGAGCUAUAACUGAGCCACUGCACUCCAGCCUGGGCAACAGAGACCCUGUCUUUA
rnacentral:SRP_RNA from 1 species